CCUACGGGAGGCAGCAGUGGGGAAUAUUGCACAAUGGGCGAAAGCCUGAUGCAGCGACGCCGCGUGAGGGAUGACGGCCUUCGGGUUGUAAACCUCUUUCAGUAGGGAAGAAGCGAAAGUGACGGUACCUGCAGAAGAAGCACCGGCUAACUACGUGCCAGCAGCCGCGGUAAUACGUAGGGUGCGAGCGUUAUCCGGAAUUAUUGGGCGUAAAGAGCUCGUAGGCGGUUUGUCGCGUCUGUCGUGAAAGUCCGGGGCUUAACCCCGGAUCUGCGGUGGGUACGGGCAGACUAGAGUGCAGUAGGGGAGACUGGAAUUCCUGGUGUAGCGGUGGAAUGCGCAGAUAUCAGGAGGAACACCGAUGGCGAAGGCAGGUCUCUGGGCUGUAACUGACGCUGAGGAGCGAAAGCAUGGGGAGCGAACAGGAUUAGAUACCCUGGUAGUCCAUGCCGUAAACGUUGGGCACUAGGUGUGGGGACCAUUCCACGGUUUCCGCGCCGCAGCUAACGCAUUAAGUGCCCCGCCUGGGG
rnacentral:rRNA from 1 species